rnacentral:lncRNA from 1 species
UUAUGCAUUCACAAGAGCACAGCCGGCUCCCCUGUGAUACAUCUAUUUAUUUAAUAACAUUAGAAGAUGGCAGAAUGUUGAAGCAAGAGAUACACAUUACUUAUUCCACAAUGAGGAAGUGACAUUGUAACACUGUUACUUUUUUAAUAGAACAUUUUUCUUAUUAGAACCUAUUGAGUUAGAGAGAUAAGCUUUGCCAAAUGCCAGUUCUGCCUUAAUUGGUCCCACUGGCUUUCAUCUCUGAUCACCUUUGGCUUCCUAUGGCGCUGUUUAAAUCCCCGGUCGACAAUGUGGGGGAGGGACUCUGAAGCUAACCACAGUCCUAGCUUCUCAGCCAUCUACGUGUGCCCUGGGAGACGGCUGUGGGAAGGUGGAGGACGCGCGCCAGUUUACGUGUUCAGUCUCAGGCUUUGCUCUGCCUGGCUGCCCACUGUGGUACAGGAAGAGGAACUGCCUGCCUGCAUGGACCCUUGGAACACCCCCACCCCCCACCCCCUCCGCACUCUCCUUCCGGUUCGGUCCGACACAGCUGUGUGACUUGGACUUGUGCUAGUUACCAUUUUCAUUUCUCUAGCCCUUGUUUUCUGGCCCACAGCGACCCCAAGGGUCCCUCCCACUCUGCUACCUGUGGAUCCUACGCAUCUUUGAAGCAGUGGGUGGCUGCCUGUCUGGGGAUGCCUUUGUCUCUAGGAAAGGCUGGCUCA